rnacentral:rRNA from 1 species
GGUGCGGAACACGUGUGCACUGCCUUUAUCUGGGGGAUAGCCUUUCGAAAGGAAGAUUAAUACCCCAUAAUAUGUUGAAUGGCAUCAUUCGACAUUGAAAACUCCGGUGGAUAGAGAUGGGCACGCGCAAGAUUAGAUAGUUGGUGAGGUAACGGUCACCAAAGUCUACGAUCUUUAGGGGGGCCUGAGAGGGUGAUCCCCCACACUGGUACUGAGACACGGACCAGACUCCUACGGGAGGCAGCAGUGAGGAAUAUUGGACAAUGGGUGAGAGCCUGAUCCAGCCAUCCCGCGUGAAGGACGACUGCCCUAUGGGUUGUAAACUUCUUUUGUAUAGGGAUAAACCUACCCUCGUGAGGGUAGCUGAAGGUACUAUACGAAUAAGCACCGGCUAACUCCGUGCCAGCAGCCGCGGUAAUACGGAGGGUGCAAGCGUUAUCCGGAUUUAUUGGGUUUCAAAGGGUCCGUAGGCGGAUCUGUAAAGUCAGUGGUGAAAUCUCACAGUUAACCUGUGAAACUGNCAUUGAUACUGCAGGUCUUGAGUGUAGCUGAAGUAGCUGGGAAUAGUAGUGUAGCGGUGAAAAUGCCAUGGCAUAUGAA